rnacentral:rRNA from 1 species
UCAGACACGUCAGAGUUGAUCCUGGCUCAGGACGAACGCUGGCGGCGUGCAUAACACAUGCAAGUCGAACGAUGAAGAAGAGAAUGGAGACUUCGGUCAAAGUUCGCUUCGGAUUAGUGGCAGACGGGUGAGUAACGCGUGAGCAACCUACCUCAUAGCGGGGGAUAACAGAGAGAAAUCACUGCUAAUACCGCAUAAGCACACGAGGUCGCAUGGCCUAGGGUGAAAAGAUUUAUCACUAUGAGAUGGACUCGCGUCUGAUUAGCUGGUUGGCGGGGUAAAGGCCCACCAAGGCGACGAUCAGUAGCCGAUCUGAGAGGAUGGACGGCCACAUUGGGACUGAGACACGGUCCAA